CUUUUGGCUAAGAUCAAGUGUAGUAUCUGUUCUUAUCAGUUUAAUAUCUGAUAUGUGGGCCAUGUGUCCACAACGAUAUUAAAUUUAUUUUUUAUGGGGAAGGGUCCACCACACUAGCUUGCUAGUGGGGCCCUCGUGUGUCGCUUGGGCGUUGCACUACUGCCCAGGCCAGGCGCACCCCAACCAAUACAAAGGGGGUAUGGUCAAGGCACAUUUUAAGGGCAAGGACGACAAUUCUGUAGCUCAACAGAGCUGGUGCCCUGUGCUCUUGCAAGUUUUGGCUGCUGUAUGCUUCUGGGUUCAAGUAGUCAGGAUAGCGUGUCGACUCGCAGGGGCAAAAUAACUGAAUCUGAUAGAACAGAAUCAGCUAGUUGAUCGCCAGUUCAGUUUAGAAGUUGGUGCUGAGAAUUCUAAUUUUUUUGGGGGUGAUAAUUAUGAUGCUGUUAUGGUAUGCAUAUGUUCUUCAGUAUGUGUGGUGUGUGGCUGCACUAUGAUUUAUUUCCAGUUCUUCCACUGUCACUCAGUGAUCGGCGCAGGGUGCUUCAUAACAUACAUUUGUGCUCUGAUUGAGAGAAAGUAGGCGGGCUGGUUGGCGCUCUGUUUUAGCGCCCAAAGAUGAACAAGAGGACACAAGAUAGAACAACAACCUUGACCAGAGAACCUGUCUCUAUCUCAAAAAUGCAUAUGAAUCAAAGACAUUUUUUUCACACACACCUGAAAUCAGUUUCUUGUUCUAGGUGCAUCAUCAAGCAGAAGACAAGGAUGGUUUAACUUGUUAUCACUUGGGAAGCAUUAUCUAGAUUAGAUUCGCCUAUGAACAUGUCAGGUUGUCUUACUUCUGAGUAGAACCUGUCUCUCAUUUUCUAAAAAAUGGAACUAUCUAUCAAUAUAUGUGUGCUGCUUUAGUUGAUCUUCUGAAUAUUUGCAAGUGAUGGCUGUCGGUACUAUUCAAUUCAACAGGAUAGCACAGCAUCCCUAUGUAAAAAUGCAUUUUCCCAGUUGUACGAAUAUCUGCACUUCACAUUUAGCAUGAUAUGGUGGCUGGCUCUUUGUAA